AACUGAACUGAACUGAAUGUUGCCGGGCAGUGUUGUGUGUUCAGUUGAGUAGAGUCACUGCUGCUUUUUGCCUCUGAAGAUGGUUACUGCCCUCAUUACAGUCCUGGGAAUUCCCUUCCCCUCUGUCCUGUGUUGGGCAAAAUUUGAUGUUGUCUGAUUCUCUGUCCUUUGUCCAUGACCUGCUUUGGGUGUGUUUGUUUAGUCUUCUCUCUGGAAGUCUUUGGAUCCUCCAUUGUUCUGAAACAGUAUUAUAGUCUGUCUUUCUGUUGGUCAUUCAGUGGAUCCUUUUGGUCUAUCCUUCUGUUCUAUAAAGUUUUUGUUUUUUAGAGUUUUUAUUAUUUUCCUCCUUUUUUCCUCCUUCUCUUUCUGUAACUUCUGUUAGUUGACUCUUGAGACUUUUGGUUUGAUCUUCUAAAAGUUUUCUCUUUUACUGUCUAUCUCCAUAUUUUAUCUUUCUGUGUGAUUUUCUUGACUUUGUCAUUUCAGUUCUCAUAUUUUUAAAACUCUAGAGCUUCUGCUUCUCUGAGUACAUAUGACAGCAAUCUAUUUUUUCUUAAUGGAUUCAAUAUCUUCCUGAAUUUUUGAAGUUUUCUUCUGCUUCCUGUGUUUCUCCUCUUCUACCAAAUGCCUUUUUUCCAGUUUGUCUGGUUUUGUCUCUGUGGUUCACAUUAGGGGCUUUCCUCAAAUGUCCUGUAGUCCCUGACUGUGUCUGCUUUCAUUUAAGAGUGAGGCACUAAGGCAUAUUGGAAGGCCCAAGUGCAUAUAUAGGAUGUAUUUAUUGACUUGUGAGUAUCAUUGACUAGGUGAUUGGUCAAGGACUGAAAGAAGAGUCUCAUUGAGGUCAAUAUCUCCAGAGAGGGAACACUGUAGUCUCCUGAAAGGUUUACCCCUGGCCUCUGAUUCUGGACAUUGGUUGGGAGAAAGGGGUUGACUUGAUAGGUUACUUCCUCCUAAUUUUCCUGUAUUCAUUACAGUGCUUCUUCCUUACCUCCUGCUGUGCUUGGCAUCCUUAAGUCCCAGACUUUCAGUUUCUCUGCUUCCUGCUUCUUUGGAAUCAGAUGGAGGAGAGGGGAAUCAUUUGGAUGAAUGGGCAGGGGAGGAGAGUAAGGGUGUAAAUGUUCCUUAUAGAAAUUUUCAUCUAAUUUUCAUGUUUUUAGUUGUGCUCCCUCCAGUCUUCCAAGAUACCUAGCGUUGUAAAUUCCUGAGCCUUUCUGGGCCUUUGCCCUAAUAAUCACUUUACAUCCCUCUGGCGUGGCCCCCUAGAGACUGACUUUGACUUUCUAGUCACCACUUCUCAUCUGCUUUCUCUCCUCUAUAGUUAUUGACAUUUCUCACCUCCUGUCUCUCAUUUGUUUUAUUCUUCAUGAUUUAAAAUUCCACUGAUGUAAUUUUAGUGGGGUUUCAGGAAGGAGUAGUGGUAAACAUAUGUGUUUAAUCUGCCAUGUUUAAUUGGAAUGAGCACAGAGACCAUGAAUUUAUAGCAAAACCAACUUGAAUGUUUAGGUGGUUUUCACUAACAGAAUCCACAGUCCGGGUGGAUUUGGUAAGAAAAGGACUGGCCAGCUGGAGUGGGAUUCUGCCAGAUUUUCUCCUGAUGGCUGACUCUCAACCUCUCCUCUCCCUUGAUGGGGACCCUGUGGCUGCAGAAGCCUUGCUCCAGGAUGUGUUUAGGAUUGUGGUGGAUGAGGUCAUUCGAAAAGGGACCAAUGCCUCCGAGAAGGUCUGUGAGUGGAAGGAGCCCGAGGAGCUGAAGCAGCUGCUGGACUUGGAACUGCGGCACGAGGGCGAGUCACAGGAGCAGAUCCUGGAGCACUGCCGGGCCGUGAUCCGCUACAGCGUGAAGACCUGUCACCCUCGUUUCUUCAACCAGCUCUUCUCAGGGUUGGAUCCCCAUGCGCUGGCCGGGCGCAUUGUCACAGAGAGCCUCAACACCAGCCAGUACACGUACGAAAUCGCCCCUGUGUUUGUCCUCAUGGAGGAGGAAGUGCUGAAGAAACUCCGGGCCCUGGUGGGCUGGAGUUCUGGGGACGGGGUCUUCUGCCCUGGUGGCUCCAUCUCCAACAUGUAUGCUCUGAACCUGGCCCGCUAUCAGCGAUACCCAGACUGCAAACAGAGGGGCCUCCGGGCACUGCCACCCUUGGCCCUCUUCACAUCGAAAGAGUGUCAUUAUUCCAUCAAGAAAGGAGCUGCUUUUCUGGGACUUGGCACCGACAGUGUCCGAAUGGUCAAGGCAGAUGAGAGAGGGAAAAUGAUCCCUGAGGAUCUGGAGAGGCAGAUCAGCUUGGCCAAGGCCGAGGGUGCUGUGCCAUUCCUGGUCAGUGCCACCUCUGGUACUACCGUGCUGGGGGCCUUUGACCCCCUGGAGGCGAUCGCGGAUGUGUGCCAGCAUCAUGGGCUAUGGCUGCACGUGGAUGCUGCCUGGGGUGGGAGCGUCCUGCUGUCACAGACACAUAGACAUCUCCUGGCUGGGAUCCAGAGGGCUGACUCUGUGGCCUGGAAUCCCCACAAGCUCCUCUCCGCAGGCCUGCAGUGCUCAGCUCUUCUUCUCCGGGACACCUCGAACCUGCUCAAGCGCUGUCACGGGUCCCAGGCCAGCUACCUCUUCCAGCAGGACAAGUUCUACGACGUGGCUCUGGACACCGGAGACAAGGUACCUGGUGGAGGAGCUGAAGAAGCGGGAGGGAUUUGAGUUGGUCAUGGAGCCUGAAUUUGUCAAUGUGUGUUUCUGGUUCGUGCCCCCCAGUCUACGGGGGAAGAAGGAGAGUCCAGAUUACAGUGAAAGGCUGUCUAAGGUAGCCCCAAUCCUCAAGGAGCGCAUGGUGAGGAAGGGUUCCAUGAUGAUUGGCUACCAGCCCCAUGGUCCCCUGAGCAACUUCUUCCGCAUGGUCGUGGCCAACCCUGCGCUGACACGGGCUGAUAUGGACUUCCUGCUGAACGAGCUGGAAUGGCUGGGCCAGGACCUCUGAGUCGUUCCAUCUUGCUGCUGGCCUGGACCCCUCUCCCAACCCUCACCAUCUCCCUGUAUCUUCUCCCUAUGUUCUCAAGAAGAAACUCUCUAGGAAACAAAGCUGUCUUCAUUUUUAUGUGCUUUGACCCACUGGCUCGCCUGUAAAUUUUGGGCUGGCCAAAAAGUUGGUUCUGGUUUUUUCUCAUAACAUCUUAUGGAAAAACCCAAAUGAACUUUUUGGCCAACCGAAUAUUUGAUAUUAAGAGGCUGUUUAAAUAAAUGGUAGGAUAUCUGUAUUGUAGAAUAUUACUCUGCCAUUUAAAUUGUAUUUACAAAGAGGACUUUUGUAGAUAGGAGAAAAAUAAUUUUAAUACAAUGUUAUGUUGAGAAAGCUGGAUAAGACUGUAUAUAUGGUACUAUCUGACCUGUAUUCAAAAGACUGAUGAGAUGGAAUAUGCCAAAAUAUUAAUAGUUUACCUGGGAUGGGGUUAUAAGCAGUUUGAAAAUGAACUUCUUUAUGCUUUUUGUUCUCCCCCCCUUUUAUGAUACAAUGAAUAUCUAUUACUUUUAUAAUAGGAAAAUAAUAAAAGUUAAAUUUUCAGCCAUAUUA